AGGAUGAACGCUAGCGGCAGGCUUAAUACAUGCAAGUCGAGGGGCAGCAUGACUGUAGCAAUACAGUUGAUGGCGACCGGCAAACGGGUGCGGAACACGUACACAACCUUCCUUUAAGCGGGGAAUAGCCCGGGGAAACCCGGAUUAAUACCCCAUAGUAUAUUGAAGAGGCAUCUCUUUACUAUUAAAGAUUUAUCACUUGAAGAUGGGUGUGCGGCUGAUUAGCUAGUUGGCGGGGUAACGGCCCACCAAGGCAACGAUCAGUAACUGGUGUGAGAGCACGACCAGUCACACGGGCACUGAGACACGGGCCCGACUCCUACGGGAGGCAGCAGUAAGGAAUAUUGGUCAAUGGACGCAAGUCUGAACCAGCCAUGCCGCGUGGAGGAUGAAGGUCCUCUGGAUUGUAAACUUCUUUUAUCUGGGACGAAAAAAGAUCUUUCUAGAUCAACUGACGGUACCAGAUGAAUAAGCACCGGCUAACUCCGUGCCAGCAGCCGCGGUAAUACGGAGGGUGCAAGCGUUAUCCGGAUUCACUGGGUUUAAAGGGUGCGUAGGUGGAUUAGUAAGUCAGUGGUGAAAUCUCCGGGCUUAACCCGGAAACUGCCAUUGAUACUAUUAGUCUUGAAUACCGUGGAGGUCAGCGGAAUAUGUCAUGUAGCGGUGAAAUGCUUAGAUAUGACAUAGAACACCAAUUGCGAAGGCAGCUGGCUACACGAGCAUUGACACUCAGGCACGAAAGCGUGGGGAUCAAACAGGAUUAGAUACCCUGGUAGUCCACGCCCUAAACUAUGGAUACUCGACAUACGCGAUACACUGUGUGUGUCUGAGCGAAAGCAUUAAGUAUCCCACCUGGGAAGUACGAUCGCAAGAUUGAA
rnacentral:rRNA from 1 species